rnacentral:rRNA from 1 species
UACGGGGGGUGCGAGCGUUGUCCGGAUUCACUGGGCGUAAAGGGCGCGUAGGCGGCUGGCUCAGUCGGGCCUGUAAGUGCGGGGCUCAACCCCGUGAUGGGCUCGGGACGGGCUGGCUGGGGCGCGGUCGAGGGAGACGGAAUGCCGGGUGUAGUGGUGAAGUGCGUAGAGAUCCGGCGGAACACCGGUGGUGAAGACGGUCUCCUGGGCCGAGGGCCGACGCUGAGGCGCGAGAGCGUGGGGAGCGAACCGG